ACGGAGGGUGCAAGCGUUAAUCGGAAUUACUGGGCGUAAAGCGCACGCAGGCGGUUUGUUAAGUCAGAUGUGAAAUCCCCGGGCUCAACCUGGGAACUGCAUCUGAUACUGGCAAGCUUGAGUCUCGUAGAGGGGGGUAGAAUUCCAGGUGUGCCGGUGAAAGGCGAAGGGUUCGGGAGGAAUACCGGGGGCGAAGGCGGCCCCCUGGACGAAAACUGCCGCUCAGUUGCGAAAGGUUGGGAGCAAACAG
rnacentral:rRNA from 1 species